GCGGGCGGCGGCGGGCGGACGGCGGCGGCCCCGGUCCCCGCGGCCCCGGCCCCGGCUGCGUCCCCGCGCCUCCCUGCCGCCUUGGUAGCGCCGGUCCGCACUCGGCCUGACCCGGGACGUCACGGCGCCUGCCUGUGUUCCCAAUGAUAACUUGGCAGGAGCAGGGGGAAGCGGCCGGGUUUUUCCUGGGCUCGUUACCGGGGUGACAUUCAGUGCCGGGCGAGCCUCGCCGGUCACCGCCAAGUCCCAUCUGGAAAAAACACAUAGAAAACCACGGGGGGGGGGGAGGGAAAAAAAAAAAAAGAAAGAAAGAAACAACCGAGAGGAAAAAAAAAAAAAAAAGAAAAAGGCGACUGCCGAAAAGGGGGGAUGGGAAGGGAGGGCGGGGGUGCCAGCCCCCGCCAGGGCCGGGAUGCGGGCGGCGGACGGGACACCUCGCCCAGGGGACGCGGGGACACACGCGCUGCCGGCCGCCAGCAGGCCAUGUGCCGAGCGGCCGGCGGGGGCGGGGGAACGGGCACGGCAACACACACACACACAAAACCACCAGAAUAUUUAAAAAAAAAAAAAAAAAAAAAGACGAAAAAAAGAAAAGCGCCCGGAAUGCCAGAGGAGGCCGGGCGAGGAGCGAGGAUGCCGCACCGCUGCUGCCGUGCAGGCCCGGCGCCGCGCCUCCCCCCCACUCCCCUGCAAGGCUUUGCAGGGGAAGGCGGGGGAGCCCCCGGCGCACAGCGCCCCGCGGCCCCGGGUGAGGGCCGGGAUGCCCCGGCGGCGCUGCGGGGCCGGGGCAGCCCGGGCAGUUCGGCAGCCGGCUGGCGCAAUGGCGUCGCUGCCGAGGAGAGCCAAGGGCUGGCGCAGACCCUGGCAGGGUUCAGUGAGGGGCUCCUGAGCCAUCGCUCCCACCUCUGCUGCUGGGGCUGCCCGGCAGCUACUCCCGAAGGCAGGAGGGUUUGCGUUAAACCAGAGCGAGCUGGAGCCUGCGGCAGCCCCGGGGCCGGUGUGGCCACAGGGCUGGAUGUCAGCGGUGUCCCCAGCCAUGGCAGGGGCUGGCAGCCACACGCAUCCCCUGCCCUGGAUUCGUGCGCUUCUCAAAGCCAAAUCCUGUAAGACUCCACGAGCAGUACCCCUAAAUUCCGAGGACCUUUUUACAUGUGGGAUUUGACUCGCGUGCAAAAGUAUUUCCAGAACUAGGCCUCGCCUAAACUACCCAUGGUAGCCUGGGUGUAAGUGCCUCUUCAACCAAAGACCAGUUGUUACCUGCACACUGUUAACAUCCCAAACUGCUGCAACACCACACCACCCACUCUGUGACCGCAGAGCGUUCCAGCAGAGCCCUGAGACAAGUUUCCCACUUAUGUGUUGCUUUUCACACCACCUACUAUAAUAACAAGUUACAACAUUGCCAAUGCCCAGGUAACUAGCGCAGUGGAGUUUGUGAAUGGGUGCAUGUAGAAGGGCUGAAACUAAAUUAUUUUUUGCAACUGCCUCUGUUCAGCCUUAAUAUUAGCAUUAAUACUUUAAUUUUCCUCAUUUAAAUACAAUAAAAGGGAAAAUUGCCUUCACUUAAUAUUGUUACUGAUCAGGUUUUGCAAUUCCAGUUUUUAUAGGGAGAUAAAGUCAGGGAGAAGUUAGUGUACACCUUUUUUAUUACUGGGCUUUGUGCUCUCAGCCACAGCAUAUUUUAAAUGGUGAGGUCCCUAUUGCAGAUGGAAAAAGAGUUGGGGAAAAAAGAAAUCCUUUUUGGAGUAUUGUACCAUUCAAACACCAUUUUAAGGAGGCUGAAAUUGAAAGCACUUUUUUUUUUUUUUUUUAACCCAAGCUACUCAAGAUGCUUUCUGGCUUGGCUAGAAAGACAAGUUUGUUUCACGUUUCUGUUUUGGAAUUGGUUUAAACUGCUUUUAGGCUAAAUUCUUGCCUCUCUUUACUGUCUCAGCAGAGUACAGAGUACAUUACUGAUACAUGUUUUUGAUGGACUUGAAAAGCAGUGUGUGCAGCUUGAUUGUUGUCUGUAUUUCGCCAUUCAUUUUUAAGUGAGGCUCUUCUGAUUGAUGUGGGGAAUUUGUUUGAAAGGAUGAAGGGUAUGGCAUAGCAACCCAACAUGCUCCUUACAAUUACACCAUACCUCAGCUAACAGAGAGAUUUUUCGUUGUGAUUGUUACACUUUUAAAAGCAAAUUAGUUAAUCAAACUGCUAUUUUUGGAAUGCACUUAAAGGAACAUUAAAAUGCAUUAAUUUCAUUAAAAUAAAUGAGCAGAUAGGUAGCAAAACAAGUAUCAGUCAAAUAAGCAAGUUCUCAACUGUGGAGCCAAAUUCAGCCCUAGUGAAAUCAUCCGAGUUGUGCUUGUGUACAGCACAUUUAAUUUGGCUUCUGCAGUCACACAGCUGACACUUUAUUUGGUUGUCAAAGGUGUGUAUAUUAAAAAUGUGUGAGCCAUGCUUCUUCUCGAAUGUGAUUAACCUCUGAAGUUAAAUUCACCUGUUUUCCAUUUAGCUCAGCUGUGCGGUCCUAUAGCAUAUGCAGUUUCUGGUGUGCGUACACACCAGAGAUGCAGAGAGGCAUUCCCAGCCCCAGUAUUAGUCUAAGGGACGUGACUUGUGUCUGAAGUGGGGGUGCGAUGAGGUGGAUUUCAGCUGAGGCUGUUCACAACCAGCUGCGUGUAUAUGCUCCAGUUAAUAGGCUGUACUGAAGUCUCUGCUACCAUCUUUCAUUACUGUUGUUACUCAUGCCAGUGAGAGUAAAGGAAAGGUUGGUGUGUCUGUAAUCACACGUUCAUUUGCUAUGUAGAUAUAUCCUCAGAGCCUCUCAGCCCAGGAAAAUUAUGUUGGAAUAAGGUCGGAUGUGAAUGUAAAGCAAAGCUAUGUUCAGAUAGUUUAUUCACUCUGGAAUGACCGAGUUGUUUCCUAGUUUCACUUAAGCCACCUUCAAAGUGGAUUAAGGUAAUUCAAGAAAGUGAAUUCUUAUGCUGGCAUAAGAUGGCAUGGGUUUAGUUGGAGGUAAUUACUGCAGUGUACCUAAUAAGUGUCUUGGAAUAAUUUGGUGUGUAGACAAAUCCAAAGUCCCACAGGUGAAAACGACAGAAUUUAGUCUUUCUGUGGAACAUGAGGUUAAUUUAGCCGAACAUUUGACCUACUUCUUUCCUCAUGAAGCAUAUUUAAUUCAUUACAGGUUUUUUUUCCUCAACGACAAAAACCCCACAACAGGUACGUAUUUAUGAUCAGUGUCAAGAUAGCAAUGCCAUGUGUACUCCACUAAAAAUAAACAAUUUAACCAGUAUAUACUCAAAAUACCUUUUCAACUGCCUUAAAGUGGACACUAGGUUCUUUACUGGAGAAAAUAUCAGCUUCUCUAUUGUAAAUAUUUUGAGUGGGUUGUUAUAAACAAAAGGAAAACAAAUCCCAAAGCUCUCCUCUGUUCUCUUAAACACCCAUGAUCCAUUUGACUGCAUUCCAUGCAUAGCAAUAUCAACCAUUCUAACUCAGCAAUAUUAAUUCCUGAAUGAGGAACCUUACAGACUCACACAGAAGGUUUUGCAGAACAACUGGGUCUUCAGGAGGCACCUUAAGAACAGAGAGCUAAUUUAUAGUUUGCUUACAGAGAUCUGAAUAAGGAAGAACAUAUUCAGAUCUGAAACCCAGGCAGCUACUCUGCUCUAAAUCAGAUGUACUGCUGGUAUUCAGGAAAGUUACUGAAUUGAUAAUGAGUACAUACAGCCUUUUUUGUGACUUUGUGCCAAGCACAAAUUUUGUCAAAUGUCAUUCAGUGUCAUCCCAUGCCACAGACCUCCAUGGAAGAGAGACAACUCUCUGACAUGAAUUCAAACUCCUAAACAACUGUUUGUUGAAUUUUUUUUCAGCAUUUUUUCCUUUUUUUUUUUUUUUUUUUUUUGGGGGGGUGGGGGGAAAUGAAAAACCAAAAACUAUAUGCGAAGGAAAUUAUGUAAGCUCAGCUGGUAAAACAGCAAAUUUUUUUGAAAGAAGCAUAAAUAUAAAAGCCACAUCCUAUAAAUUGCUGACCUUUAAACAUUGACAUGGAAAAAGCCAUUAAAAUCCAUGAAGAUAACAAAACCCAACUCCUACUUCAUGUGAAAGACUGUAAUGUGGCAAGGCAGAGGGUACCAGAGCUCAUCCCUUACACCGAUUAAGUAGACCCAGCACUGUGUAAUAGGCAGUGAUGCCAACAUAGGAUUCUCAUUCCUAAGCUCAGUUUAUGAUUACGAGCAUGGUUUUGCUCUCCUGUGCUUACCUUGGUUGAGGAUAUAGAGAAUAGAUUACAUAUGCAACUCCAUCAUGCCAAACCUGCUUAUUUAAGUAAGAAACGUUCUUGCAAGAAGAUAAACAUUGACUAAAGAAGGUAGAACAUGGAUAAACAGAAAACAAAAAAUCAAGUUCUUGGAUUCUGUGGCGCUGGGUAACUUUGACCAUGGUCCUGAUAUUAAGGCUCAAACUAAACUCAGAUUGAAGGCAAUUAGAGUUUCAGACCAUAUAUGAGCGUGCCUGAUCUGAAAUCCCUCUUGCAUAAAAAAUUAGAUUAGAUUAGUUUAUGCUCUGCUUCCACUGAGAGAUCUCUGAGUGUUGGAGCCACCUGCACUGGUGGGGUGUCCUGGCUCUCCCCCACUUCUGUCAUUACAGGGGAAUUACUCAUCUAGUGAGGAAGGUGUCUAAGUCUCCGAGAUGAUGGCACAACACACGCAAGAGGAAAUCGCAGUGCACAGCCAAUGCAAUGAAAUGAAGGAUCCUCUAUGGGAGUUGGUUAGUGGUGCCAAUGUUUGAUAUUUGUCGUAACAACCACUGACUGUUUUGUUUUUUGUUCUAACAAUGUGAAUUAUGCAUUAAACAUUAAUACAAGUGAGUGUA